rnacentral:rRNA from 1 species
GACGAACGCUGGCGGCGUGCCUAAUACAUGCAAGUUGAGCGCUGAAGGUUGGUACUUGUACCGACUGGAUGAGCAGCGAACGGGUGAGUAACGCGUGGGGAAUCUGCCUUUGAGCGGGGGACAACAUUUGGAAACGAAUGCUAAUACCGCAUAAAAACUUUAAACACAAGUUUUAAGUUUGAAAGAUGCAAUUGCAUCACUCAAAGAUGAUCCCGCGUUGUAUUAGCUAGUUGGUGAGGUAAAGGCUCACCAAGGCGAUGAUACAUAGCCGACCUGAGAGGGUGCUCGGCCACAUUGGGACUGGGACACGGCCCAAACUCCUGCGGGAGGCAGCAGUAGGGGAUCUUCGGCAAUGGCCGCAAGUCUGACCGAGCAACGCCGCGUGAGUGCAGAAGGUUUUCGGAUCGUAAAACUCUGUUGGUAGAGAAGAACGUUGGUGAGAGUGGAAAGCUCAUCAAGUGACGGUAACUACCCAGAAAGGGACGGCUAACUACGUG